rnacentral:rRNA from 1 species
GAUGAACGCUAGCUACAGGCUUAACACAUGCAAGUCGAGGGACCGGCGCACGGGUGAGUAACACGUAUCCAACCUGCCCUUUACUCGGGGAUAGCCUUUCGAAAGAAAGAUUAAUACCCGAUAUAAAGGAUGGGGAUGCGUUCAAUUAGGUUGUGGGGGAGGGAACGGCCCACCCAGCCUUCGAUGGAUAGGGGUUCUGAGAGGAAGGUACCCCACAUCGGACAGGAGACACGGGCCAAACUCCUACUGGAUGAAUCAGUGAGGAAUAUUGGUCAAUGGGCGGUAGCCUGACCCAGCCAAGUAGCGUGAAGGAUGAAGGCUUAUGGGUCGUAAACUUCUUUUAUAUAAGAAUAUGUAUUAUAUGAAUAAGGAUCGGCUAACUCCGUGCCAGCAGCCGCGGUAAUAC